rnacentral:piRNA from 1 species
UGGUCAAGGAACUUCAGCUCACAUUGCCCA